CCGCCGCCUAGUCCUGGGCGGGCGGCUCUGAGACCCGCGCUCCGAGCGUUCCUCCGCCGCCGCUGUCUCUGUUCCGGCUCCGGCUCACUGGGUCUUGGACCAGCAGGGAUUCCUCGCUCUGCUCCCCACCGAUCACUCGCCUCCGCUCCCCUCCAGGCGGCUUUCUCCCGCAAGGGCCGCAGCAGGGCAGCACGAACAGACAGACCGCUGGCUAGCCGGACGAACGUCUGCUAGCGCGAGCGCCCAGAGCUUCUUUCUGCAGGGGAGUUUCCUCCCGAAGGUUUGGGCGCCGCACCCAGAAGCCAUCGUCACCCGGGAGUCGCAGCCGUCCGAGCCUCCGGAGCGGGAGUCGCCAGCCUAGGCCCAGAGGGAAGUGGGAAGAGCUCUGGCUUAGAAAUCAGAAGACCCAGAUUCGAAACCGACUGUAUCACGGGCAUCGUGGGAUCCUGGACUGGCGCCACCCCUCUGGUGCCCUUUCCUUCCUAGGGGCGCCUUCCUAGAAGCUGUAAGAGACUUAAAGGACCAUCUGGUCCCACGUCCUCAUUUCGAAGAGAAGGAAAAGGAGGUUCAUACAGGAAGGGUUUUGCCCCCAGGUCCCGCAGCUGAUUAAAUAGAAGCUCGAGGGUCCCUUUCCUCGGACCCCACAUCAUCCGGGGAUUCGUAAAAACACCGAGUUCUCAAACGGAAGGCCAAAGAUGAAGGGGCGUCGCGGGGGCCAAAAGUGCUCUCUUCCCUAGGUCCCCAAGGGUCCAUUUUUCAUAAGGAAAGUCAGCUCCACCUGUUCUUAACAGCCUCAAAAAGUUCUCUCCGUCCUCUGGGCCACGCCCCUCUUGCUUUCCUCCAUCCCACCUCUCCCACUUCGCUCCUGGCUCUCGCGUUGGGACCCUCAGAUCAGUCCCCUCCUUAGCCUGGGAAAGGAGGCUCAACAAGGCGCUUCCCUUCCACACCUCCCCAACCGAAGAGCCAGCUGCUAAUUCUCUCUGGCGCUUACCUCUCUCCACCUCUGUCUCUCAAAUACAAAUCUUGACACAGU